CCCCCAAAAAAAAAUCUUAUAAAGCUCUCACUUUGUAGCAACUCUUCCUUUAAUAAUGCUUCCUUCUGGUUUGGAGUCCUUAAUUUUAUAUUCAACCAAUUUGGCUAGGCACAAUGCUUCUAUAAUAUGAGUGAGCUGUAAGAUAGCUAGUUCUCUCCUAAUUUCCGGUAAUAGUCCAAAGCGGAAGCAAUUUAAAAUUACCUCUGGUGAGAGUCUCCAAAUUCUGUUACAAAUCUUCUCUAAUUGUUAUUGAUACUCUACCACUGAACCAG
rnacentral:lncRNA from 1 species